GUACUUGCUUCAGCGGCACAUAUACUAAAAUUGGAAUGAUACAGAGAAGAUUAGCACUGCCCCUGUGCAAGGAUAACACACAAAUUCAUGAAGCAUUCCAUAUUUUU
ensembl:snRNA U6 U6 spliceosomal RNA